UUACUUAUGAUGAUAAGUUCAAUCUGAACUAAGUAUUGAAGAUUCAUAACUUCAAAUUAAACCAAAAGGAUUCUGAUAAUUU